rnacentral:rRNA from 1 species
CCUACGUGAGGCAGCAGUGGGGAAUAUUGCGCAAUGGGCGAAAGCCUGACGCAGCGACGCCGCGUGAGGGAUGAAGGUCUUCGGAUCGUAAACCUCCGUCAGCAGGGAAGAACGGACACUGUGCUAAUCAGCAGUGAAUUGACGGUACCUGCAAAGGAAGCACCGGCUAACUCCGUGCCAGCAGCCGCGGUAAUACGGAGGGUGCGUGCGUUAAUCGGAAUUACUGGGCGUAAAGCGCUCGUAGGCGGUAUGUCAAGUCAAGGGUGAAAUCCCCGCGCUCAACGUGGGAACUGCCUUUGAAACUGGCAAACUGGAGUGUGUGAGAGGAUAGUGGAAUUCCAGGUGUAGGAGUGAAAUCCGUAGAUAUCUGGAGGAACAUCAGUGGCGAAGGCGACUAUCUGGCACAUAACUGACGCUGAGGAGCGAAAGCGUGGGUAGCAAACAGGAUUAGAUACCCGGGUAGUC